AUACACCAUUACUGCUGAGUGGCACAUUCAUAUUGCAAAGAUGUUAUGACAACAUUUCAUUCCUUUCUUACUGACGUGAUGAGAAUGCAGCAUCAGAUUUCUGGCCCUUCCUGGCUCAUGGGUCUCUGUUCUUGGUGUCUUUACUGUUGGCUGGAUGUUUACAAAUCUAUCUGUGCACUAAAUGUUUAUGCAUGUUUACUGAAAUCUACAUGCGUUGACUUUGGUGAGAGAAUUUUCAAGAAAAAAGUUACACCUCAAGACAGCUUUAGAUUAAGUUUGCAGACUGCUGCUGCAUAUGGUUACAGUCAGAAGGUUGCUUACACUCAUCAUAAAUGUUAUAGCAGUUUUGGGCUUGUAAUGAUUGCCUUGAACUGCUAUUUUUUUCCAGACUGACAUGAUUGUAAAGCAUAUAUCUUUAUUGACCUCUAGAAACAAGAACUAGGUGCACAAGUUUGAAUUUAUUUAGGAUUUCUCAAAUCCACACAGGAUCAAAAAUAAACAUACUUAGUCAGAAGCGCACAUGCUCCCACACUAAUGUUUGGUUACAUCUCCACCAGACCCUUUUGGUAGCCAUCAACAAGCUUCAGGCAAAAUUCUGGCUGAUUAUUUAACCACUCUCCUUGAAAGAAUUGGUAGAGUUCAUUAAAAUUGGUUGGUGUCCUGGCACGGACCCUGCUUUUAAGCAUAGUUCACAGAUCUUAAUUAGCGUUUAGAUCGAGGCCAACGAAUUUAAAGGUCAGAAGUUUAAUUUAAACUUGUGCACCCAAUUCUUGCUUUUUAAUGACCUAUACUGUACAAUCUUUCCCUCUGGAAGAAGUACAGUUCACAGAAACCAUUGCAAUCCCCAGAAUUACCAUGACAUUAAGGCCAAUGAUGACUGUAUGUAAAUUUGUGAACACAACUGUAUGUCUGCCCAGAACAGACAGAGCUAAAGUCAGCGUCGACAUUCCACUAAAAGCUGGUAUGAAGCGUGAGUAAAUCUGAAAACUUACUGAUUCCAGGUCCGCGGUUCAGGAAAAUGUGCAAUAAUACCUCAAGCUAGUUUUAAUAUGACAAUGACGGUGUUGUGUACGCUACCUGUCAGGGUUCCAUCGAAUGCAGUAACUUGUUUUCGAUUCAACAGAUGCACAAAGUGACAAGUCACCACAAGUGUACAGCAGUCGUAGAAUUUACAACAGCAACAGCAAAGGUUAUGUAUAUAUUUACGUUAUUUCUUUACAUAGUUUUCCAUGAGAGGGACCUAAGAAAACAACUUUUUGCACAUCGUUUUUAUACAAAAAGUUUUCCCUACUUUUCUGUACCAGGGACUGAGGCCAGUGGAACGACUGUAGAUAGAAUGACAGUGUGUGUUAAUGUUUUCUUUAUAAACUAACAUAGUGAUUUAUGGAGGAAAAAAUCGUUUAUUGUGAUUGUGUUGGACAUAUUUCAAUAUUUUCUUGUGAUGGUUUCAAAACCAAUGUGAACCGUUUUUAUGAUCUUUAAAAUCUUUCCGAGCUACUUUAGUUAAAAAGCUGGUUAAACCUUGAUUUACUGUUUUCAAGAAGUGAACACAAAAUGUGAAUAUUAUUGUCUCUUUAAAUGGAUCAAUUGAAUUUUACUGUUGUUUUGUGUCAUUAAGACAUGUAGAUAUUGAUUUUGUCAGAUGGUGCGUUUGAGGACUGAGUCGGUAACAGGACAUGAAAAUGCCAUCAGACGCCUCCAGUGGUUUAUGAUGUGAUUCUGUAGGUUUAUAGCUGUGUUACGGAGGCUGUAUAUACAGCACAGAGAUGAACACUGUAGUAUUAGUAUGCUUAAAACUCACAUCCACAUUAUCAGCAUUCAUGGAUAGUGGCUCAUUUUGGUCUGAAUGUUAAAUGUGACUUCCAUGAAUUAUGAGUAAGAUAACAAACACUGUAAUGCUUAAAAGUGACACAGACAAUACAGACAAAUGUUUUCUGUCUUCUUCAGAGUGAGAUGUUUCAGAUAUAUAUCAGUUUUAUCUGAUAGUCAGUUCCAGACCCUUUUACUGUGAAGCUCCAUGAAGCUUGAAACAAAGGUUGUAUGACUUAAAUCUCAAUGUUAUCAAUCUGUGAAUAUGAAAUGAAAAAAGGAGAAAUUACAGUUUUGCUGUGUUUUAAAAGCGAAAGACUUAAAGGCAGGAAACUCAUAGACUACUUAUUUUAGAACUUGUUAUUAAAUUCCUCAUGAAGCAAAACUAGAUAGACGGUAACACGGAAAAAAUAGCCCUGUGAAAAAGUAAAAUGGAGACAUAACAGCUGAUUAAUAUCCUCUAUCUUGUGAAUUUUGAAACAAGCUUCUCCUGUUUCGUGAUGCGAUGUACUGUGCUGCAUUUGCACACAGUUCAGUCAUGGCUGGAUUAGCAAUUGGGCAAGUUUAGCAAAUGCCCAGGGAAUUCAGACAGCCAGGGUCCACAACAACCAGGUUUACUCUGUAUUAUUUGGGUCUGCUUCAUUUCAUUUAUCUCAAAUUAAAUCAAAAUCUGCAGAUUGUGAGUACAGUGUAAACUUCUGCUAAAUCAGAGUUUCAGUGUAUAGGUUUAAAUCAUUGUACUUUGUUUCUUUUGCUGUAAAAUCUGCUUCAUUACAUUAUUAUUAUUAUUAUUUUCACAUUUCCAGAAACUAACACAAAGAACAUCCACAACAGGAUUAUCUUAAUUCAUUAUCAAAGUGCUGUAAAAAAAAGAAUUUUAAAAUUAAAUGAUUUUUUUGGCGUUUAAAAUAUUAAAAAUAGUAUUCAACCUUAUGCUAAGACACUAAUAGCCAUAAGUUGUAUUAAAAGAUGUCAGCUGAAGGUUCCAGUUUUUGUGCUAAACUAAGAGGAUCCUGCACUUCACAGAAAUUGCUGCUUUCUAAUUAAUUAAUCUCACUCGGAAGAAGACAGACAAAAUCUUUUUUUUUUUUUUUAAAGAAAAUUCAAACAGUUUGAAACCUGUUAAGCAUUCAGUGAGGAAAGACAUGAAAUCAACCUUGCACCCUGUUUAUUUCCCCGUUUUACCUCUUUCAGCUGUGACUCAAACACUCUGAAUAAUGGAUGACGAAGAGAGAAAUUUUCCUUCUCACCCACCCCCCUCAUUCUCUUUGCUUACGUUACACAAGGACACAGAGGGCUGAAAAUAGCGCUGCUGUCCUCAUGUGAUGUGAAAUUAAAAGCACACUGGAGCGGAGAUACUUGCUGCUGGGGGAUCUCAAUACUUGUUUUACUCCAUCUGACAAUACUUCCAUCCAGCUUGCAACACCGCAUCCAUCUGUCUGUGCAAGGGUACUUUUCACUACGGCAAGCUUUUUGGAAUAUAAUGAUGUACAUGUGAUUGUAAUAAAGAGAUUUUAAUUAGCUAUGAAAUUGUUGUUUUGUGCUUUUAUUCAAGACUUAACUUUUGUUGCCAGUCAGACACAAGCAAUAAACUUCUGUCUGUACACAGCUGUUUUGAACAGGUGAGGGUUUUUUGAGCCUAGCCAUUUUCAACAGAUUGCUGCAAUUCAGUCUUAUAUCACCUUUAUCACUACUACUCUAGAAAACUCGGCUUUCAAUGUGUCUUUGACAAUAUUUGAAUUAAAAUAAAUAAAGC
ensembl:lncRNA